rnacentral:rRNA from 1 species
CAGUCGAGCGGCAGCGGGAAAGUAGCUUGCUACUUUUGCCGGCGAGCGGCGGACGGGUGAGUAAUGCCUGGGGAUCUGCCCAGUCGAGGGGGAUAACUACUGGAAACGGUAGCUAAUACCGCAUACGCCCUACGGGGGAAAGCAGGGGACCUUCGGGCCUUGCGCGAUUGGAUGAACCCAGGUGGGAUUAGCUAGUUGGUGAGGUAAUGGCUCACCAAGGCGACGAUCCCUAGCUGGUCUGAGAGGAUGAUCAGCCACACUGGAACUGAGACACGGUCCAGACUCCUACGGGAGGCAGCAGUGGGGAAUAUUGCACAAUGGGGGAAACCCUGAUGCAGCCAUGCCGCGUGUGUGAAGAAGGCCUUCGGGUUGUAAAGCACUUUCAGCGAGGAGGAAAGGUUGGUAGCUAAUAACUGCCAGCUGUGACGUUACUCGCAGAAGAAGCACCGGCUAACUCCGUGCCAGCAGCCGCGGUAAUAC